CUAUCUUCUUCUAUAUAUCAAUUGGAUUCAACUCAACUACUCGCAGUGAACUGUUCAUGAUGAUUAUUUGAUAGAAUAUGAUAGAAGAAGGCAGAUACCAGCCUUUACAUAAAGCAUCGCUACUGAUCGCUAUAUUCGAUUAUUCGCUACCGAUAGUACCGAGUGGCGAGUACCGAUGCGACCGAUGCUACCGACCCGACAUGUUUUGUGUACGGCAGUCUAAGGUUAUGUCUCGUGCAAAUUUUUAAAUUGUGCCGGGGACACGUUCUUUACGGGGAUCAGUGAGGAUUAUAUAUAGUUCUAAGAUGUAGCAAGAUUUAAAGCGUGCUUAUCAAGUUGUGACAGUUACGUAGUCUCAGACGACGAAAACAAUGAAGUUGGUCAAGCCUACGUGGGUUACUCACGAUGGGUAUCCGAUAUUCUCUAUCGACAUACAUCCCAAUGGAAAGAGAUUUGCCACUGGUGGUCAAGGUGGCGAUUCAGGAAGGGUUGUUAUAUGGAAUAUGGAACCGGUAGUUGACGAGACUGCUGAAUUAGAUUCUAAUGUUCCAAAGAUGCUUUGCCAAUUAGACAAUCAUCUUGCAUGUGUGAAUUGCGUACGAUGGAGCACGGGUGGCAUGUUGGCGUCGGGCGGUGUAGAUAAGCUUAUUAUGAUCUGGAGAUUAUCUGGAUCAGGCGGGAGUUCGAUUUUUGGUGGAAAAGCUAGCGUGGAAACUUGGAGAUGUAUCGCGACGUUGCGUUCACACGAAGCUGACGUACUCGAUCUUGCAUGGGCACCCCACAGUCCAUGGCUGGCUUCUGCCUCAGUAGAUAACAGUGUAAUAGUAUGGGAUGCUUCCAAGUUUCCUGCUGUGGUCGCUGUGUUAAAGGGUCAUACAGGUUUUGUAAAAGGGAUUACUUGGGAUCCUGUGGGAAAAUAUUUGGCAUCUCAAUCUGACGACAAAACGUUGAGAGUAUGGCGUACUACGGAUUGGACGGAAGCAGCGUUAAUAUCUGAGCCUUUCGACGAAUGUGGCGGGACGACUCAUGUGCUGAGACUUUCUUGGAGUCCAGAUGGUCAGUAUUUGGUAUCUGCCCAUGCUAUGAACGGAGGAGGACCUACGGCUCAAAUAAUAGAAAGGGACGGAUGGACACAGGAUAAAGAUUUUGUUGGACAUAGGAAAGCAGUAACUUGUGUUAGAUUUAAUGGCAAUAUUCUGCAGAAGAAGCAGCCAGGUUCCUCUAAACCACAACAGUAUUGUUGUGUUGCAAUAGGAUCGCGAGAUCGUUCUCUAUCUGUAUGGUUAACAUCCUUAAAAAGACCUUUAGUCGUAAUUCACGAGUUGUUCACACAUUCCGUGUUGGAUGCUAGUUGGUCACCGUGUGGUCUUCGUCUUGCCGCAUGUUCUUGGGAUGGAACAGCUGUAUUUAUUGAAUUUACUCAACAGGAAUUAGGACAACCUCUCGAUCCUGCUGAGCAAAGUAGCCUACAUGAACGAUUGUAUGGUAAGCCAUUGGUUCAAGGAGGUUGUAUGGUGAUGGAAGCCCCAGAACUUCUUACGUUGAAACAACCGGCAUCGAAUCACGCUUCUCAAGUGUCCGCUGCUCCCACCAUUCCCCCUGUCACUACGCCUGCGACUACUCCGGUUAAGGGACCUAUCAAUAAACAAAUCGAAACGAGAACUUCGGACGGUAAAAGAAGAAUCACUCCUAUGUUCAUUCCACCACCAGCAGAUACAACAGAUACAAAUAUCAGUAGUAGUUUAGGCACACCAACGUUCACGAGUAAAGUACAAACAAAGAGCUCGAUUGUGAUAGAAAAACGUAACGACGUUGUUGCACCCAAUGUUACUUCGUCCGUAAAACCAGUUGCUGCCGACACUCCGGGAUCCUCUCUUACAUUAAAACGCAAGGAGCAAACGACACCGAAGGUUCACCAUUCUUCGCCGAGUAAGAAGCCUAAAUUCAUAUCUGACAGGACGAUAGGUCAGAUGUUACUGCCUCCACUGAAGCCAUCCAGUUCAUUGUCCCAACAAGCGGGUCAUUAUGCUGUGACUGUCACUAAUAGUCAGGGCUUGGCUCAUUUGCAAGUAUUUAAAGGCACUGAUUCUGAGCCGACAUGGGAUCUCUAUUUAGGAUAUAGCGCUGUGGCAUUAGCCGCAUCACCGGCUGUGAUUGCCUUGGGUUUGGAAGACGGAAGUCUUCACACAUUUCAUCCUGCGAAAGGAUGUCGGCCAGCACCACCGUUAGCACCACCGGCACCUUUGGCGAAGGUUCAUGCAGUUGGAAACGCGGUGAUGGUGAUAUCGAGCUGUGGCGCGGUUCGCGUAUGGGAAAUAGGAACGACGUGCAGAAUGAUCGUUUCAACUUCGGCUGCUCAUUUAGCAGCACCUGGAACAUCCCUAUUGUCAUGUACUUUGUAUAAUGGAAUGCCUCAUGUAGCAUUUACUAAUGCACGAGCAUACAUAUAUCAUAAAGAUAUGGGAACAUGGCUGUUAAUUGGUGAUAGUCAAGACCCUGUGUGGCGAUGGUCGUCAUUCAGUGUACUGAGUACUUCCGGCAGUAGAGCACCUAGGGGACCUUUGUCAUCACUACAAGAAGGGUUGCUUAGAACCUCCGGGAAUACUUUACCAAAUCCGCGCGUACCACAUAGCGCACCAAGCGUGGUUUCUUAUUUAGAACAACAGUUACUCGCAUCUAAAGCUCUUGGAAGCGCCCAAGAGUACGUUCAUUGGCUCAUGGCUUUGGUGUCAUUCUUAUUAACGCAAGACGGUUUGGAGAAACGUCUAAGGCUUAUUUUGGACGAUCUUUUGGGCCCAAGUCACACGUCAGCUUCCAAAAGUACAUGGGACCCUGUUAUUUUGGGAAUAAAAAAACACAAACUUUUGGGCGACGUACUGGCUGUAGUCGGUGGCCAUCUUCGUUGGCAAAGGUUAUACCUCGAAUAUUCGGAGCAGUUAACAGCACUGAGGAAUCAAAUUAAUUAACGAUGAUUCCGUACAGUGCAACGUCAUUAUACCAAAAGCAUCUCGUCUUUUUCUUUGGAUAAUAUCUUUGUAUAUUUCUAAAGACAUCGUCAUGGAUAUAUAUUGUAAUUAGCACGCAUGGAUCACUUGAUUCCUCUCAUCGAUGAUGCUAUUCAUAAGGAUGACGUACUUUAGGAAAGUAAUGUGAAUGCGGAU